GAUGAACGCUGGCGGCGUGCUUAACACAUGCAAGUCGAACGGAAAGGCCUCUGCUUGCAGGGGUACUCGAGUGGCGAACGGGUGAGUAACACGUGGGUGAUCUGCCCUGCACUUCGGGAUAAGCCUGCGAAACUGGGUCUAAUACCGGAUAGGACAAUGGUUUGGAUGCUGUUGUGGAAAGUUUUUCGGUGUGGGAUGAGCUCGCGGCCUAUCAGCUUGUUGGUGGCGUAAUGGCGUACCAAGGCGUCGACGGGUAGCCGGCCUGAGAGCGUGUACGGCCACAUUGGGCCUGUGAGACGGCCCAGACUCCUACGGGAGGCAGCAGUGGGGCAUAUUGCACCAUGGGCGACCGCCUGGUGCAGCGAGGCCGCGUGGGGGAUGACGGCCUUCGGGUUGUAAACUCCUUUCGCUAGGGACGAAGCGUUUUUGUGACGGUACCUGGAGAAGAAGCACCGGCUAACUACGUG
rnacentral:rRNA from 1 species